GGAGAGGUGUCCGAGUGGCUGAAGGAACGCGACUGGAAAUCGCGUAUGCGGGCAACUGCAUCGAGGGUUCGAAUCCCUCCCUCUCCG
rnacentral:tRNA from 1 species